AGGCAGAAAAUAUAGCCCCAAAUGUCGUCUACAUUCUUUCUUUCGUAUGUCACAACCAUUUAAAACAAAUUCUAGAACCUUUAUUCUCUUCCUUCUCCUCUCAAGAAGACAGGUCUGUAGGAUCCAUAAACAGAGUUUCUCAUGGAUUCAUGUUGUCUAUACUUUAUGUCAUGGCCUCUCCUGUAGGCAAAAGCCCUGAAAGGCCUCCAAUCCUCUGGAAUUCUGUUGGAGAGAAAUCUCAACCCCCCAAAGUGGUAUAAGGAUUAAAGGAGAAAGCUCCAGCAAGCAUCGAGCGGUGGACCUCACUGAUCAGAAGCUUGUCCCUAUAACUUCUACCCACUGAUUCCAGAUGUAUUGCGGCAACCACAUGAAACCAGGGUGACCCUUGAACAGCUCUCCGUGUCUACUUUUAUCCAUGCCCAACAGCCUUAUUUUCGAUGGUUUUUCCUAAGAGAGACAGAGCACGAACAGGGGAGAGGGGCAGAGGGGGAGAGAGAGAAUCUGAAGCAGGCUCGACACCCAGUGCCCAGACCAACACGGGGCUCAGUCUCCCGACCUGGGGAUCGUGACCUGAGCCAAAACCAAGAGUCGGAUGCGCAACCAACUGAGCCAUCCAGACGUAGGAUUAUCAUUGCCACGGCUUUUAUGUGUAUCAGCUUUAACUGAAAUCUUUUUGUUCUGGAUCAGAAACAGAAUGAAAAUGUUCAUGAAGCAUAGAAUGCAUAAACGAACGCCGUCUGCUUCUUACAGCCUGUAAAACAUUUUUAAUGUAAAAUAUUUUGAAAAAAAUAAAAGAAGAGAAACGUUUCAUAUCAUGGGAAAAGAUACCGAACUUGAAUUUCAGUGCCCAUAAACCAAGUUUUAUCAGAACACGACCAGGAUCACGUGUUGACAGACCGGCUGCGGCUGCCUUUCCCGCUAUGAUUCCAGAGUCGAGGAGUCAGACAGGGACCCGUAUGGCCCUUUUUACAGAAAUGUUUGCGGACCCCUGCUGUGUGGCCAUGGAGUUGGUGAACAAGGAGACUUUCAUAAAUACAAUGUGGAGAGAAAAGAGCUAGCCUCCAGAGUGCUUGCCUGUAACCCACGCAAAAUUAAUCUACGGGGAGAGGAGUCUGAAGGCAGCGACCUCUGUG